rnacentral:misc_RNA from 1 species
GAUGAAGACGCAGCGAAAUGCGAUAAGUAAUGUGAAUUGCAGAAUUCAGUGAAUCAUCGAAUCUUUGAACGCACAUUGCGCCCGCCAGUAUUCUGGCGGGCAUGCCUGUUCGAGCGUCAUUUCAACCAUCAAGCCCUGCUUGCGUUGGGGUCCUGCGGCUGCCCGCAGGCCCUGAAAACCAGUGGCGGGCUCGCUAGUCACACCGAGCGCAGUAAUACAUCUCGCUUUGGGCGUGCGGCGGGUUCUUGCCGUUAAACACCCCCUUUUUACCAAGGUUGACCUCGGAUCAGAUAGGAAUACCCGCUGAACUUAAGCAUAUCAAUAAGCGGAGGA